CAUUGCAAUCAGGCCAUCACUAAAGCACGGAUCCCAUCAGAACUCUGAAGUUAAGCAUGCUUGGGCGAGAAUAGUACUAGGCUAGAUGACCUCAUGAGAAGUCCUCGUGUUGCAUUCC
rnacentral:rRNA from 1 species